UAGUGAUUAACGCGAAGAACCUUACCCAGGCUUGAACUGCAGAUGACAUCCUACGAAAGUAGGCUUCCGCAAGGACGUCUGUAGAGGUGCUGCAUGGCUGUCGUCAGCUCGUGUCGUGAGAUGUUGGGUUAAGUCCCGCUACGAGCGCAACCCUUGUCUUCUGUUGCCAUCAGGUUAUGCUGGGCACUCUGAAGAGACUGCCGGUGACAAACCGGAGGAAGGUGGGGAUGACGUCAAGUCAGCAUGGCCUUUAUGUCCAGGGCUACACACGUGCUACAAUGGCCGGUACAAAGCGUCGCCAACCCGCGAGGGUGCGCCAAUCGCCAAAAGCCGGUCUAAGUUCGGAUUGUAGUCUGCAACUCGACUGCAUGAAGCCGGAAUCGCUAGUAAUCGUGGAUCAGCCAUGCCACGGUGAAUACGUUCCCGGGCCUUGUCACACCGAAUCGAAUUC
rnacentral:rRNA from 1 species